rnacentral:rRNA from 1 species
UACAGAGGUCUCAAGCGUUGUUCGGAUUCAUUGGGCGUAAAGGGUGCGUAGGUGGCGCGCUAAGUCAGGUGUGAAAUUUCGGAGCUUAACUCCGAAACUGCAUUUGAUACUGGCGUGCUUGAGGACUGGAGAGGAGACUGGAAUUCAUGGUGUAGCAGUGAAAUGCGUAGAUAUCGUAAGGAAGACCAGUGGCGAAGGCGGGUCUCUGGACAGUUCCUGACGCUGAGGCACGAAGGCCAGGGGGAGCAAAACCGGGG